AGAGUUUGAUCAUGGCUCAGAACGUACGCUGGCGGCACGCCUAACACAUGCAAGUCGAACGAAGUAGCAAUACUUAGUGGCAGACGGGUGAGUAACAUGUGGGUAUCUGCCCUUUGGCCUGGAAUAACACGAGGAAACUUGUGCUAAUACUGGAUAAGUCUUUACGGAGAAAGCUUUAUGCACCAUUGGAUGAGCCCGCACUUGAUUAGUUUGUUGGUGGGGUAAUGGCCUACCAAGACUUUGAUCAAUAGCUGAUUUGAGAGGAUGAUCAGCCACAUUGGGACUGAGACACGGCCCAAACUCCUACGGGAGGCAGCAGUGGGGAAUCUUGCACAAUGGAGGAAACUCUGAUGCAGCGAUGCCGCGUGAGUGAAGAAGGCCCUUGGGUUGUAAAGCUCUUUCGUCGGGGAAGAAAAUGACUGUACCCGAAUAAGAAGGUCCGGCUAACUUCGUGCCAGCAGCCGCGGUAAUACGAAGGGACCUAGCGUAGUUCGGAAUUACUGGGCUUAAAGAGUUCGUAGGUGGUUGAAAAAGUUGGUGGUGAAAUCCCAGAGCUUAACUCUGGAACUGCCAUCAAAACUUUUCAGCUAGAGUUUGAUAGAGGAAAGCAGAAUUUCUAGUGUAGAGGUGAAAUUCGUAGAUAUUAGAAAGAAUACCAAUUGCGAAGGCAGCUUUCUGGAUCAUUACUGACGCUGAGGAACGAAAGCAUGGGUAGCGAAGAGGAUUAGAUACCCUCGUAGUCCAUGCCGUAAACGAUGUGUGUUAGACGUUGGAAAUUUAUUUUCAGUGUCGCAGCGAAAGCGAUAAACACACCGCCUGGGGAGUACGACCGCAAGGUUAAAACUCAAAUGAAUUGACGGGGACCCGCACAAGUAGUGGAGCAUGUGGUUUAAUUCGAAGAUACGCGCAGAACCUUACCAACACUUGACAUGUUCGUCGCGACUUUAAGAGAUUAAAGUUUUCGGUUCGGCCGGACGAAACACAGGUGCUGCAUGGCUGUCGUCAGCUCGUGUCGUGAGAUGUUGGGUUAAGUCCCGCAACGAGCGCAACCCUCACUUUUAGUUGCCAUCAUUAAGUUGGGCACUCUGAAAGAACUGCCAGUGAUAAGCUGGAGGAAGGUGGGGAUGACGUCAAGUCCUCAUGGCCCUUACGUGUUGGGCUACACACGUGCUACAAUGGUAUCUACAACAGGAAGCGAAACAGCGAUGUUAAGCAAAUCCUUAAAAGAUACCUCAGUUCGGAUUGCACUCUGCAACUCGAGUGCAUGAAGCUGGAAUUACUAGUAAUCGUGGAUCAGCGUGCCACGGUGAAUGCGUUCCCGGGUCUUGUACACACCGCCCGUCACACCAUGGGAGUUGGUUCUACCUUAAGGCAAGGUUUAAUACCCUUGACCACGGUAUAGUCAGCGACUGGGGUGAAGUCGUAACAAGGUAACCGUA
rnacentral:rRNA from 1 species